UCCGCCGUGGUGUAAAGGCAGCACCUUGGAUUUUGGUUCCAAUGGUCCAGGUUCGAAUCCUGGCGGCGGAG
rnacentral:tRNA from 2 species